rnacentral:lncRNA from 1 species
AAGAAUUCAAUCGGGAAGCCAUCCACCCCGGGGUUUUGUCAUGAGGCAUAGUCUAACUGCCUGUAGGAUCUCCUCUCUGGUUACUGAUUGAUUCUAUUGCCUUUCAAUGACAACACUGUGAAAUGGUCAGCCCAAACCAUUGCAUUUGCCAUCAGAAAAUAGGUAGAAUCAUAAUUAAAUGAUAUAAUCGAUAAGUAUGACAAAGUUUGAAGUAUAAAGGUC